rnacentral:rRNA from 1 species
AACGAACGCUGGCGGCAGGCUUAACACAUGCAAGUCGAGCGCCCCGCAAGGGGAGCGGCAGACGGGUGAGUAACGCGUGGGAACGUACCCUUUGCUACGGAAUAGCUCCGGGAAACUGGAAUUAAUACCGUAUGUGCCCUACGGGGGAAAGAUUUAUCGGCAAAGGAUCGGCCCGCGUUGGAUUAGCUAGUUGGGGGGGUAAUGGCCUACCAAGGCGACGAUCCAUAGCUGGUCUGAGAGGAUGAUCAGCCACAUUGGGACUGAGACACGGCCCAAACUCCUACGGGAGGCAGCAGUGGGGAAUAUUGGACAGUGGGCGCAAGCCUGAUCCAGCCAUGCCGCGUGAGUGAUGAAGGCCUUAGGGUUGUAAAGCUCUUUCACCGGAGAAGAUAAUGACGGUAUCCGGAGAAGAAGCCCCGGCUAACUUCGUGCCAGCCGCCGCAGUAACAC